AUUGAACGCUGGCGGCAGGCCUAACACAUGCAAGUCGAGCGGAGCGGCGGAAGGGUGAGGAAUGCCUAGGAAUCCGCCUGGUAGUGGGGGAUAACGUCCGGAGACGGGCGCUAAUACCGCAUACAAUCAGCUGAGCCUAGGUCGGAUUAGCUAGUUGGUGGGGUAACGGCUUACCAAGGCGAAGAUCCGUAAAUGGUCUGAGAGGAUGAUCAGUCACACUGGAACUGAGACACGGUCCAGAGUCCUACGGGAGGCAGCAGUGGGGAAUCUGGGACAAUGGGCGAAAGCCUGAUCCAGCCAUGCCGAGUGUGUGAAGAAGGUCUUCGGAUUGUAAAGCACUUUAAGUUGGGAAGCGUUACCAAAAGAAUAAGCACCGGCUAACUUCGUGCCAGCAGCCGCGGUAAUAC
rnacentral:rRNA from 1 species